AUUGAACGCUGGCGGCAGGCUUAACACAUGCAAGUCGAGCGGGGGAGGUUGCUUCGGUAACUGACCUAGCGGCGGACGGGUGAGUAAUGCUUAGGAAUCUGCCUAUUAGUGGGGGACAACAUUCCGAAAGGGAUGCUAAUACCGCAUACGCCCUACGGGGGAAAGCAGGGGAUCUUCGGACCUUGCGCUAAUAGAUGAGCCUAAGUCGGAUUAGCUAGUUGGUGGGGUAAAGGCCUACCAAGGCGACGAUCUGUAGCGGGUCUGAGAGGAUGAUCCGCCACACUGGGACUGAAACACGGCCCAGACUCCUACGGGAGGCAGCAGUGGGGAAUAUUGGACAAUGGGCGGAAGCCUGAUCCAGCCAUGCCGCGUGUGUGAAGAAGGCCUUUUGGUUGUAAAGCACUUUAAGCGAGGAGGAGGCUACUAGUACUAAUACUACUGGAUAGUGGACGUUACUCGCAGAAUAAGCACCGGCUAACUCUGUGCCAGCCGCCGCGGUAAAAC
rnacentral:rRNA from 1 species